GCGAAAAGAACCCCGGCGAGGGGAGUGAAAUAGAACCUGAAACCGUGUACGUACAAGCAGUGGGAGCACCUUCGUGGUGUGACUGCGUACCUUUUGUAUAAUGGGUCAGCGACUUAUAUUUUGUAGCAAGGUUAACCGAAUAGGGGAGCCGUAGGGAAACCGAGUCUUAACUGGGCGAAUAGUUGCAAGGUAUAGACCCGAAACCCGGUGAUCUAGCCAUGGGCAGGUUGAAGGUUGGGUAACACUAACUGGAGGACCGAACCGACUAAUGUUGAAAAAUUAGCGGAUGACUUGUGGCUGGGGGUGAAAGGCCAAUCAAACCGGGAGAUAGCUGGUUCUCCCCGAAAGCUAUUUAGGUAGCGCCUCGUGAACUCAUCUUCGGGGGUAGAGCACUGUUUCGGCUAGGGGGUCAUCCCGACUUACCAAACCGAUGCAAACUCCGAAUACCGAAGAAUGUUAUCACGGGAGACACACGGCGGGUGCUAACGUCCGUCGUGAAGAGGGAAACAACCCAGACCGCCAGCUAAGGUCCCAAAGUCAUGGUUAAGUGGGAAACGAUGUGGGAAGGCAUAGACAGCCAGGAUGUUGGCUUAGAAGCAGCCAUCAUUUAAAGAAAGCGUAAUAGCUCACUGGUCGAGUCGGCCUGCGCGGAAGAUGUAACGGGGCUAAACCAUG
rnacentral:rRNA from 1 species